rnacentral:rRNA from 1 species
GACGAACGCUGGCGGCGUGCUUAACACAUGCAAGUCGAACGGAAAGGCCCUGCUUUUGUGGGGUGCUCGAGUGGCGAACGGGUGAGUAACACGUGAGUAACCUGCCCUUGACUUUGGGAUAACUUCAGGAAACUGGGGCUAAUACCGGAUAGGAGCUCCUGCUGCAUGGUGGGGGUUGGAAAGUUUCGGCGGUUGGGGAUGGACUCGCGGCUUAUCAGCUUGUUGGUGGGGUAGUGGCUUACCAAGGCUUUGACGGGUAGCCGGCCUGAGAGGGUGACCGGCCACAUUGGGACUGAGAUACGGCCCAGACUCAUACGGGAGGCAGCAGUGGGGAAUAUUGCACAAUGGGCGGAAGCCUGAUGCAGCAACGCCGCGUGCGGGAUGACGGCCUUCGGGUUGUAACCCGCUUUCGCCUGUGACGAAGCGUGAGUGACGGUAAUGGGUAAAGAAGCACCGGCUAACUACGUG